GGGGGGGGGGGGGGGGGGGGGGGGGGGGGGGAGGGGGGGCGGGGGGGGGGGGAGGGUGCGUCGCGGAUGUUAGCGGCGGACGGGGGAGUAACGCGUGGAUAACCUACCUAUAAGACUGGGAGAACUUCGGGAAACCGGAGCUAAUACCGGAUAAUAUUUUGAACCGCAUGGUUCAAAAGUAAAAGACGGUCUUGCUGUCACUUAUAGAUGGAUCCGCGCUGCAUUAGCUAGUUGGUAAGGUAACGGCUUACCAAGGCAACGAUGCAUAGCCGACCUGAGAGGGUGAUCGGCCACACUGGAACUGAGACACGGUCCAGACUCCUACGGGAGGCAGCAGUAGGGAAUCUUCCGCAAUGGGCGAAAGCCUGACGGAGCAACGCCGCGUGAGUGAUGAAGGUCUUCGGAUCGUAAAACUCUGUUAUUAGGGAAGAACAUAUGUGUAAGUAACUGUGCACAUCUUGACGGUACCUAAUCAGAAAGCCACGGCUAACUACGUG
rnacentral:rRNA from 1 species